GGUCAGAUGGCCGAGCGGUCUAAGGCGCCAGACUAAGGAUCAGCUUCUGCAGAGAAGCUCCAUUUAUCGAUUCUUCGAUUCGAUAAUCUGGUCCUCCGGGGCGUGGGUUCGAAUCCCACUCUGAUCA